rnacentral:lncRNA from 1 species
CCCUUUGUUUUUUCAGUUUUUCUCUUUCAGGGUAUAUGUCUUCAUUACUUGUUUCACUUAAUGGCAAAUCAAUUGCUGUACUUUCUAGAUCUUCCAUUUCACUUACAAUUGUUGAAGAUGAAGAUGAUGAAGUGUUUGUAAUCAAUGAAGAUGAUGAAGAAUUUGACGUUAAUGAUGAACAUGACGAAGACCGUGAUGAAGACGACUUUGGUGCAAACACAGAAAAGACUUGUGAACUACAGACUGAUAGAUAACACAGGAUGGCAGUAGAUUGAAUGGUAAUUUUGCACAUAAUUUAUGUUUUCCUGCAUAAUGUUGCAACUUCAGAUAGAUUUAUGAAACCUAGAAAAAAAAGGGACAAGAUGUAAUUGUACAUUAUCAGUUUGUUACAUUAACUGUACAACACAACCUUGCUAUGCUCUGCAGACAUAUGGUUUUAGUUUGUCAUGAUGUACUACACGAGGUUUCUGACGUAACCCUUGAAUACGGUACAAAAAGUUUUGUUAAAACUGUAUAGGGACCUUUCCAUGGUCUCGUGAAUUUACUGCUUAACUGACUUUCCUUUGUCGGUUAUAAUACCACACCUGAUCACCUACAUCAUACUGUUGAAAGUUAUAGUAUCGAGGUCAUAUUUCUUUUUCAUGACCUCACUUGAGACUUUAAACUUAUUCCUAGCAUAUUCAUGUAUUUCUACUAUUCUACAUUCCAAGGCAUUUACAUUAUAAAUCAGAACCAUAUUUUAGUCUCGUUUCAGCAUUUUCUAAUUCAGGUUGUCCAAAGACAAGAUCAGUUGGGAGCCUUAUUUCAAAGCCAUAGAGCAUAAAUGCGGGUGUGUCACCAAUGGCUUCAUGUACAGAACUACGAUGGGCAGUUAAACAUAAAGGUGUGCAGCAUUCUAGAUUGUUCUAAUUUAGUGUACCAUGCAGAGAAAUGUGUCAGAUAUAUGUUGCCUCAGUCCUGUCUGUGUCUUCAGUAAAACACCAACACCAUUUUCUCCACUGGUAUCCCAGACACCAAAGAGUAUUUGGGCCCAGCACCAGAUAGAUAUUCCAGCCUGACACCAUCAGGGUUUUUGGGCCCAAUACCAAAUAGCUAUUCCAGCCCAAUUCCUAGAUAUUCCAGCUAAACACCUGGUUCAACAGCAAGACCAUCUUGAAGCCCAGCAACUACAGUGUGGAAAGCUUGUUGUUGGACCCAAUAUUGAAGCCAUGUCUGCAAACAUAGGUUGUAUAUACAAAGGAAUGCUUGUGUAUCAGGGACAGAUAUUUAAUGACGGUUGAAUGCCUUGAUAAUACAGAUGUGAUGAAAGGUGUGCUGUAUAUGACCUUGACACGCCUUGCUGCAACCUUGUCACUCUUUGCUGCAACCUUGACACCCCUUGCAGCGACCUUUACACUCCUGCAAAGUUGUUUUCCAGCAUGUAUCCAAACACAUGAAGGGCUGGCCGCUAACAAAGAACUAUGGUCUCAUACUGAUGCUUAUCCAUAUUUUGUUUACAUUAUGAGUUCAAUGUAUUUGAAUAUGCACAUGUUCAUUCAAAAGAGUGUGAUUUAAAUGAUUUAAUAAUGGGUCAGUAAGAAUCCUAUGUCAAAGAGUUUAUUAGUGGAUCUCCCUCACUUUCUUCUUUUUUUCCCUGUAAUUAUAUUGUAUUGUUGAAUUACAAUACAAUUUGGAUAUAUGAGUGAGUCGACACAAAAUUGUCAUAUAUAUAUGUUGUAUGUAAUGAAUUAAAUGGUUGUAUAAUAUUGAAUUGUUUAAGUACAUUUUUUGUACACAUUUUUGACAUUUUUUUUUUGUACGGAAUACUUCACAUAAUAAUUAUAAAUGUUUUUCAGCCGCAAUUGUUUUUCCAGUAAAAUAGAAAUAUACAUCCCUUCAUAUUAAAAUAUGAAGCAAAUAUUUUAUAAUUUCAUUCACCUGCUUUAAACAUACUCAUUUUGAGGUCUUUAUGUUGCAAUAGACAUUAUGUGAAUAUUUAGAGGCUAUUUUGUUUGUUUCAGUGUAAGAUAUAAACAUCUUUCACAAGUGAAUACAAGAGGCAGUAUUUUCAUGAAUGGCACAGCUGCGUGUGAAAAUGUAAGAUGUAGUGUUCAUGUGUGAAAGAUAUUCAGAUUUUACAUGUAAAACAAUUUUUCUGUAUAUGGUUUGAAAAAAAUUACCCAUUUUUUAUAGUUUCUUACCAGUGAAAAAUACAAAUAUUUUUACUGUGAAAAUACCAGAUGUAUUUCAAUGAUUCACUAAAAAUCUUGAAAUUGAUUUUGAUCUUACACUUAAACACACAAAAAUCCUGUUUUUGUUUGGCUACAAGACACCUAUUUAGAAAAAAAGAUAAUAAUUGAGCCACACCAUGAGAAAACCACCAUAGUGGCUUUGCAACCAGCAUGGAUCCAUAUCAGCCUGCGCAUCCAUGCAGUCUGGUUAGGAUCCAUGCUGUUUCGCGAUUGGCUUCUCUCAUUGCAAUAGGCUUUGAAAGCAAACAGCAUGGAUCCUGACCAGACUGUGACAUGUACAUAAUAUAGGCUAUCAUAGAAGAAACCUAACUCUCUACUUACACAAACACACAUUCUAUCUUUCUUUUUCCCUUCCCAUAGAUUGUGAUAUUAUUCAGUGGUUUUCAUUGCUGAACUUUACUCCAUGAAGGUAGUUCUACAUGUUUGAAUCAAAAUAUUUCUACAAUGUAGAAUUUGAUUAAACCCCAAUUCCUCAAAUCUUGAAAAUAUACUUGGAAAAUUCAGCAAAUAAGAAAUAGGUGUGUGUUAUUAUUAUUUUUUUUAUUUAUUUAUUUAUUUAUUGUGUUUUUUUUUCGCUAGACUGCUUUGAAAAAAUUGGACCUUACACAAUAAUUUGUUUCAUAAUGGGAGUCUAUGGGAAUAUCAUAACUUUCAUAACAUUUUUGCAAAUAGGUCUUUAUUUUUCAAUGUAGAUUUUAAUGAAACUUCUCAGAAUCAUUAAUGAACAUACAGUUUUUAAUGUGGUGAAAUUAAAUGUAUAGGUCUGUGUGCUUAUUUUUGCGAUAUAUGACCUAGAGAUGGUACCUAAGGCUACAUAUUCAACGACAACAACAACAAAUCAGGUGCAAAACUGAAGCGCAUAUCGCUUAUCUCACGCUAGCAGUAUUUUAACAUAUCACCAUACAGUAAACACUGGAACUUUUUACAGCGAAACCGCCUUUGUUAUUUUGAUGGAUUAGCUAAAGAAAAAUGAUUGUAAUUUCUUUUUAACUAACAUAACCCUUUUAAUUAUACUAAAGAACAUCUGCUUUAUAUUAACAAUAGUUACUGUAACGUUAGAUUCCGCAAGAUAAAUGCGAUUCCGCACGCCUCGGUCAAUAUGCAAAUUAGGUACAUUUGUAAACACAAGGUGCGUGUCAUAAAAAGUGAAAUAACUUCUUUCUGCACAGUUUUUGGUAUGGUUUUGGUGUGACCAUCAGCUAGAAUAUACA